AAGUGACGGUAGUGAGGAAAAUCGCAUACAUUUUCACUUUUGAUUUUUUUGCAUUUUUGGACAUCAUUCACUAACAUCUUGAACCUCACAAAAUUUCAGAUCAUAAUAAUGUCUAAUUAUGUCACUAUGACGAUGACGUAAACAAGAAAAUGCAUAGCAAAAGGAUUUUCUGUUUUCACGAAGUGACGGCCAAGUACGCGCUUAACAGCCGUCAAUUCGUGAAAACAUCGUUUGCUCUUUUCCUGCUUUUAAUAUUUUCACGAAGUGACGGUAGUGAAAAUUUCGCAGUUUGGAACAGUCACAGACCAUGAAAAGUUUCAGAUGCAGUAGAUACAAUUUGCACUUAUAUGAAGGAAGCACUGGGAAAGUACAUCUACUUUUCAAGAAUGCCACAGGCCAGACACAAAUCCAGAUUGGAUACAGGGACCGACAUGCUGGUAAGAUGGGUCCUUGAUAAUUCACUGAACACAGAGCUGCAGAUGUGACUCGGCAUAGUGACCUAAGAGUGGGAGCGGUAUGGAACCGUUGAAGCAAUUCACCGAACACUGUUGAAGCAAUUCACCGAACACAGUCAGAGCUGCAUGUGUGACUUGGCAUGGUGACCCUUAAAGUCUCCUGACGGCUCCGAUUGCGAUUCUGAUGAUGA